rnacentral:rRNA from 1 species
UACGAAGGGGGCUAGCGUUGCUCGGAAUCACUGGGCGUAAAGGGCGCGUAGGCGGCCAUUCAAGUCAGGGGUGAAAGCCUGUGGCUCAACCACAGAAUUGCCUUUGAUACUGUUUGGCUAGAGACCGGAAGAGGUAAGUGGAACUGCGAGUGUAGAGGUGAAAUUCGUAGAUAUUCGCAAGAACACCAGUGGCGAAGGCGGCUUACUGGUCCGGUUCUGACGCUGAGGCGCGAAAGCGUGGGGAGCGAACGGG